GACGGAGGAUGCAAGCGUUAUCCGGAAUGAUUGGGCGUAAAGCGUCCGCAGGUGGCAGUUCAAGUCUGCUGUCAAAGACCGGGGCUUAACUUCGGAAAGGCAGUGGAAACUGAACAGCUAGAGUAUGGUAGGGGCAGAGGGAAUUCCUGGUGUAGCGGUGAAAUGCGUAGAGAUCAGGAAGAACAUCGGUGGCGAAGGCGCUCUGCUGGACCAUAACUGACGCUCAGGGACGAAAGCUAGGGGAGCGAAUGGG
rnacentral:rRNA from 1 species